rnacentral:rRNA from 1 species
UGGGGAAUAUUGGACAAUGGGCGCAAGCCUGAUCCAGCCAUGCCGCGUGUGUGAAGAAGGCCUUCGGGUUGUAAAGCACUUUCAGUAGGGAGGAAGCGUUGAGUGUUAAUAGUACUCAGCGUUGACGUUACCUACAGAAGAAGCACCGGCUAACUCUGUGCCAGCAGCCGCGGUAAUACAGAGGGUGCAAGCGUUAAUCGGAAUUACUGGGCGUAAAGCGCACGUAGGCGGUUUUUUAAGUCAGAUGUGAAAGCCCCGGGCUCAACCUGGGAAUUGCAUUUGAAACUGGAAAACUAGAGUGUGUGAGAGGGGGGUAGAAUUCCAAGUGUAGCGGUGAAAUGCGUAGAGAUUUGGAGGAAUACCAGUGGCGAAGGCGGCCCCCUGGCACAACACUGACGCUCAGGUGCGAAAGCGUGGGGAGCAAACA